GUGCUCACUUCAGCAGCAUAUAUACUAAAAUUGGAAAGAUACAGAGAAGAUUAGCAUGGCCCCUGUGCAAGGAUGACAUGCAAAUUUGUUAAGCAUUCCAUAUUUUC
rnacentral:snRNA from 1 species